rnacentral:lncRNA from 1 species
AGCACUAUAAUAUUUUGCACCAAAUUAUAUUCUUGAUUUUAAUCCAGUUUAUUUGCAUUAGAAAUUAGAUGCCAAUUUUCAAUUUUCUAUAAAAAUUCACAUGAGUAGAAUAUCACACAAGUGUUAGGAAACCUCAUCUACUUUAUCAUCAAGAUAAAGAACUUCUUGGUACAUUUCUCACCAACUUCUAUAUGAAAUCUAUUGUGCCAGCAAUCCUUUGUUGUGAAAUACCUGAGAUUAGCAACUUAAAUAGAGGAGUGAUUUGUUUUUCGUUUACAAUCAUUGGCUUUGGUCUGUGCAUAAAUUGUUCCUUGCUUUCUUGACCAGUGGUGAGGUAGAACUUCGUGAUAUGGAGUAUGUGGUGGAACAAACAUGUUCACUUCCUGCUAGCUGGGAAGCUAAAAGAGAGGGGAAGGGACCAGAGUCUCAAUAAAACUUUCUUUUUUUUUUCCCACAAAGGGAACAAGAGAGAGUUUAUUCAGGGGCCCUUUUGAAUGACCAUGUCCAGGGAACCUGUUAAAGUUAGUAAAAUACAGUGGUGGAUACAUCAGAAAGACCAGUACAGCAAGAUGAGGGAGGCCUUACAAUGGUCUCCAGGUGCUAUCUUGUCGCAUUCCUAGCUUCUGGAUUGGUAGAAGCUAAUAGUUAACAGAUUCCAGAAGGUUUCAUCUAUUAUCACAGGAUGUUUGUUCCAACAUAGACAUGGGCAACGAAUAGCUGCUCUGGGGCUAAAACUAGCCCGAUACAAGGUAACUGGGCCCUGAGCCUCCAACAUUCCUUAAAACUUUCAAAGCAUGAAAACAACUGUGUGGCUUGCUUCUUCAGGAGUCUACAUUAUAGACAUUCCAUCUCUUUCCAACAGUGUCUCAGUCCUGCAACCUUACAUAUGCUCCUUUGGGGACUGUGUACAAUCUAUACUGUUAAAAUUACAAUAUGAGACUGCGAGCCAAAUAAACACCAAUCUCACUCUGGCCUGAAAUAUAUUUCUUCUAAAACCAGGAGGAAAGUAAGUUGAUAAUAUCACCCCUGUGCAAGUGACUUUGUAAUUCUGCUAAAAUACUGUAUGGCAGUGCAGGAGAUUUAGGGCUUUCUGGGAUGAUUUAUGUUCACUAAAUCUGGCAAGCUGUCAUCCCGAGGCAUAUUUACGGAUUCGGUGUCUCCGCUACUGCUCUUCUUGCGGGGAAGAAACAUCUCCCGGAUCCACGCUCUCUAGGAGGAAAGGAAGUGGUACCGCACAUUUUGAUGCUAUUUUUCAAGGUUUACUUCCCAUUGUUGAAACUUUAUGAAGGCAAAAUACAGAUCCUUGUAUCAGCAUUUAAUUCUUUAUAUAAACUAGUAGAGAAGCCUGGUCCCUGAAGGGGAAACAUGGUGCCUUGAAUCCAAAAAAAAAAAAAAAAAAAAAAAAAAAGAGCAAAAAUGGAAACUGAACUGUUUAUUUGAGAGACUGGAUUUAGAAAAAGAUUGGCAAAAUUUAUACAUGGGAUAAGCCAUUUGUGUGCACCCGACCAAAGAUGCUUUUACCCCUGUUGAGUCUCAGAUUCUUAACUUGUAAAAUAGAUGCAACAACAUUUACCUACACGGAUUGUCAGGAUUUAGUAACAUGAGGAUUACAAUGCAACUUAAUUUAAUGCUUUACACUGGAGGAAUGCUCUGUUAUCGGUUUUUAUACAAAUAUCUUCUAACCUGAGAAUUCGAGUGGAAUGAUAAAGGCAAUAACAACACUACAAUAUUAUCCUUAUUUCAGUAGAGAGUAUAUGCUAAAAUGAGAAGUAGAGUAGACUGUUCAAAAGAAUUGACAAUGAUUUUACACAUUUUAAAACACUACAGAAGCAAACACAAUAGGCCUGUGAAGGUUCUUGAGAAAAAGUGAUUUAUAAAUGACUGUGUUCGUUUACUACUUGCAUUCAUGUAGACAAAUACACCUUCAGUAUAAACUAAUCCCUUUUUACUACUCCCACUGAGAUCCUGAGGAUAUAGAUAGUUUUGAAAAAAUAGAUGUUGCCAUAAAUAUUUAAUCUCAGUUGGGAGGGCGGUUCUACCCUGCCUUUGAUCAUUCAGUUCCCAGAUAAAACACAAAAAUUUUGUAUUUAUACUAAGUCUUACUCAGCACUAAAGCUGGGCAUAUAUCUACUUUCUAUGCUAUUCUGUGUACUUCUCUGCCAAUAACCCCAAGAUAUGACUUGCCAUAUCUCGCCUGGGCUACUUUAACACCGACUGGCCAGCCCGCAUGGCCAGUUCUCACAUCCCCUUACCCCAAAAUAUCUUCUGGUCCUCUCCUCUUUCUACCUUCUCCCUCUUCCCCUCAUAGUCUCUGUCUCAGACCCCAGGCCCAGAAACCGAAACACAACCUAUCUUAUCUGUCCAGCUAUAGGCUGUGGGCAUUUUUAUUCACCAGAGAUAACUUGUAGGGCAAGGUUAGCAUCACUUAGUGUAUGUGAGAAUCUCCUACUGCCUGAGGCAAACAGAGCCAGUAUUUAGCAUUAUAAUAUAUACCAACAGAGCAAGCCUCAACAAAUAUAGGCUUUUGGCUUUCUCUCUGUGUUACCCCAAUCAGAUUCUCAAUGGUAAACCUGUGCUCUGCUGGUCCUGAAAACUUCUAGUGACACGUGUUCAUUAAUGUGAGCUUCUGGUGUUCCAUCCAUCUUGCCCUAAGAAUGAUAUAGUACUUUUCUAAAUUGUAUGCCAUAAACAGAAUUAAUUUAGGUUAAGGAUAUUAGUGACAUCUUGUGCUGUAAUGCUUAAGGCGAUUCUCUAAACCUGUUGCUGCCUAGAUUAUAGGUAAAUCUAGAAAUGUGUAAUGAAGUCGGGUUCAUCAUUGCCAUGCUAUGCUGUAGGCUGCUAUGGUGCACAAACAAAUAAACAAACAACCCAGAAUUUUCGGUUAGAGAAUUGAAUAGAAAAUAAUGGGUUUGUGAUUACUGAUAAGUUCUUCAUUUUAAUAUUAUUUUCAAAAGGGAUUGAAAAUAAAUCUUAAAUAUGGAUGCUCCCUAGAAUGUAGUGUGGAACUUAAGUAUGUAAAAGGUAUAGUGCAAUAGUUAAAUAUGUCUAAGGCUUGAUGAAUAUUGGCUGACUUAAAUAUACUGAGAAAAAAGAAGAGACUGGGGUAUUCCCAGUCUUUCUGCCCACCUGGAGGUUAGAAACUGGAAAUGCAAAGAACUCUGAUAACAGUGAUCUCUACAAACAUAGGAAAUUAUAUAUUUUUCUAGAGGUUUUCAUGGUUGUUAUUGAUGACUGAAAAAGACAUUUCUCUUUCUCUCUCUCUGUCUCUCUGUGUGUGUGUGUAUACACACACAUAUAUACACAUAUACUUUUAUUUUUUAAUAUAUCAAUAUAUAUAAUAAACUUUUACAUUUUUAUUUCCUUUAUUUUUGAGAUUAUAAUAGAAUUGUAUAAUUUUCCACUUUUCCUAUCACUGCAAACCCUUUUGUACAACUCUGUUUUCUCUCAUUCAUAUUCAUAGACUUUUUUAUCAUCAAUUAUUGUCAAAUGAGUACAUAUUUAAUAUGUAAUCUGAUCAAUCUGUAAAAAUAUUUCAUGUAUAUAAGUUUUCAGGGUUGACCUAAAACCCCUACUUUACUCAACCAGCAUAAUCCUUAAACACACUCUAAAUAUUUACCUUUCUACCCAUAUAUAAGUGUUGUCCUUGCCCUUCAUCAAGGAAACUUCUCUUUGUAACAACCAGAGACCAUUAUAGGAAACUACAACCAAUCAAAGUGCAGAAUAGUAGAGUUAAGUCCCAAUAGAUACAUCUACAAAACAGUGCCACAUAUGAGGUUCAUGGAACACUGAAGAAGGGGGGCAGAAAGAUAGUAAGAUCCGGGAGUAUUCUGUAAGAUUGUGUCUCCUAUUAAUAUCAGAAGCUAAAUCCCUAAAGUCUCACCAACAUGAUCAUCCAAAUGUUAACUGAGCAAGGAUGUCAACAAGAAACAAGAGAAACUGAACUGAGAAAGCCCGUGAGGCUUCAAUUCUACACUAUGCAAUACAGAAAUGUUGAGGGCAGGAGAAAGAGUCUCCCCUAGGGGAAAGAAUACCAACUGGUUAUCCAUUUCUCAAUGGUCACCUCUGAAGACAUAUUUUUUUGUGUGUGUACAUAUCUGUAAUGGUAAAUGUGCAGCAACGCUUAUAGGCAGCAUGUAUAGAUAAUGUCAACAGUUGGUUUCUAAAGUCCACAACGCUAAAUUCAGCAUACAUUACCCUAAUUUCUGGUGCCCCCCCCCAAAUCUUUAAUUGGCCUCAAAAAUGGCAAAGGCAUACUUAAAGCAGUUCUCUAUGAAGUGACUCAGCAAGUUCCCUGUUCCCAUUAGUUUUGAUGGUAACAAACAGUAAUUAUUCAGUCCAGAAUGAAGUGUAGGUAUUACUGCCUAAGGAAAUGACCUAUCUUCAUCAUAGAAAAAAAGUAAAUUGAUAUCUUCUUUUUUAAGAAAAACACAAAUUAAAAGUAUUCAAGCAUUAUAAAGAACUGUAUGAAAAUAUUCUCUGCUGUUGGAUUUUCUAGCUUAACCUAAAGAUUAUGCAAAUCACUGGUUCUCUCUUUACAUCUAUGUGAUCCACUUCUUUUCACUUAUAGUUAUGUACUGCUGGACACUGUUCACUCAUGUUGAUUCCUUUUGAGAUCACAUAGUAUUUUUGUGCUUUACUAAGAUGCAGAACAAUUCACUCUAACAUUGAGACUGUUUUUUCCAUGAUCAAUAAAUUUGUGAUUGAAUCAAAUUAUACCAUUUGCUAUUACUCUAGGCACAUAGUCCUCUAGUGUCCUACUUGCCACUAUCUCUGGCUUCACUCUACUGUUGCAGAAAGUCAUUGUCAAGUGUGGUUUGAAAAUAUUAAAUGGAAAAUUCUGAUAUAAAUAAUUUAUAAUUUUUCAAUUGCUUGGUGUCCUGCUUAGCAUGAUAAAAGACUGGACAACCCUGCUCCAUUCAUUCCUGGCUAUAAAUCAUCCUUUGCCAGAGCAUCAUCACUGAACACACUACCUGCCUAUUUGUCACUUUGUGACAUCUUAAUUACCAAAUUAACUCUUUUAGUGUCCUGCUUUAGCCCAAGUAACCUUUAUUAUUUUCUGAAUAAUAACACGGAAGCACAGAAUAAAUGAUGUAUGCAAUUCAGGUAUCUCAACGGGAGGUCAUCGGUUUCUUUAUCAAGAUCAGUGGUUUUCUACCCUCCUAAUGCAGUGACCCUUUAGUAUAGUUCUUCUUGUUGUGGUGACUCCUACCAUAAAAUCAAAACUGUAACAUGCUACUGUUAUUAAUCAUAAUGUAAAUAUCUGAAUUUCUCAAUAGUCUUAGGCAACCCCUGUGAAAGGGUCAUUCCACCCCCCCAAAGGGGUUGCCACCCACUGGUAGAAAACUGCUGAUCUAAAUAUUAUUUUACAACGUCACAAGCUGUGUAGGGAACAGUGCAGUAAUGGGAGAGGCAGAAAAAGAACAGACAUAAUGUUUAUUAGAGUACGUUGUUAUAAUAAUUCUAUUUGAUGCCAUUUUUGUCAGUACCCUACAUGCCUACUUUAUAAGAUAAUCUUAUGAGAAUGCAUAUAAGAGAAUAGAAGAAAUAUAGUAGUUGUAGGCAUUCACUAGGGUUGUGGGUUCUAUAUCCUGAAAAUAAGUUGGUUAUACCUAAAAUUUUACUCAAACUGUAUACAGAAAUUAAUAUUGCUUUUUAUUGAAAAGUACAUGUUUAUAUACACUUAUGGAGGUUGUAUUUUAUGUUUAUGUAGUCACAUUGCUCACUGUGGUGGCUUGUAUAAUUUUAUCCAAGAAAGUCAAGAUAGCUUAACUAUCUUAAAUCAAUUUUUAUUACUUUUUACAUAAAUAUUUUUAAAGUGGAAUAUAUGUGGCAUAUACUGCUUCUGACUUCUGUCCUUAAUAAAUUUCAAAACA